AGUACUUUUAAAUUUUUCAAAAGAAGAGCGGAAUAGAUUAAUAUUUCUAUUUUGAAACCCGUAUAAGUGUUACGCGAGGAGUAAACCGCUGAUCAAAAUUGUAUGUACCAAUGCCUACUAAUGCCCAGUAAUGCCCAAAUAAUGCCCAAUUUUUAUACCCACUAAUAUCCUAAUGAUGUUCAUUAAUGCUCUAGUAAUGCCUAUUAAUGUCUUACCCUCGUUAAUGCUCUAGUAUAUAAUGCAUAACUUUAUAUCGCUUAUUAUAAUACACAAUUCUCUUAAGUAAUGCCCUGCAGUAAUGCUCAGUAAUGCCCCAAAUUUGUAUACCGCAAUGCCCUCAACGGUUUACCCCUCGCUAUAUCCGGAUAUGAUCUCCGAUAGUUCGAUUUAUUGAACUAUGGGAUAUGUACUAAUAUACAUUGAAUACGUGAGCGACCAGCAAGGACUUCAAAAUGCAGAAUGAUGGAGAAUCUAGCGAGCUAUGGCCAUGCUAUACUUACGAGAUCUGCAAGACCAUUUGUGCGAAAAUCUAGACUCAUGAAUGUGUACAAUGUUACCAUCAAAUCACUGAUGAAAAUUUAUAUUUUUUAUGCAAAAAAUGAUGACGGUAACCUUCUACGCAGAAGUUUGGUCAACGGGGCCGCAGGCGGUAGCCGACAAUUGCAGUUACAAUGAAGGUGCUCAAAGUAGCGCUCCCUGGACGAAUGAGAAAAUUCGUCUGGAGGAGCAGCUUAUAUCAUAUGUUCGGUCUCUCUGUAGAAUUUCAAACUUCCACUCGCAGAGUGAGGAAUUCGUUGGAAAAAGAUACUGUGGGAAGAAGUUUCCAUAAAACAUAAAGUAAUGUCAGUCAAAGAACUCAAGGAGCGGAAAUCUGUCUGUGACUCUUUCAGGGCUUAUUGUAGAAAGAAGUUGCCAAGUGAAUCUACGACCUUACCACGUAGUUUGUGGGUUUAUUACGAGAGCAUGCAAUUUCUUUUAGGUCUUCAACUACAAGGCUUAACGACAACAAACGCAUUGGACGAUGAAGCUCUGACAGCGGAUGAUGAACUGUGGAGGCAGUGAAUGAUGAAAAUUACGAACUGGACACCAACAAUUCAACCGAUAGCCAGAAACAGUCUUCGGGAAGUGACGGGGACUUGAUAAUGAUAUUGAACUACAGGACUUAAAUUAGCGGAAGUUUUGAUGAAAUCACGCAUUUUCGAUUAGCCUGAUUGCGUAAACGUAGAAGUAACGAAAUCCUCCACCAUAUCGGAACUCGCGCGCGAAGAUUCUGUUACGCACUUCACGAGACUUUUGAAGAGCAACCUACGAGGAACCGAGGACGAAGAUGAAACGAGAUCAUACGCCGUCUGUUUUCGAAAGUCUUCUCGACGCUAAACAUGAACUUGCGA